GACGGCAGCACGGACUUCGGUCUGGUGGGCGAGGUGGGCGAACGGGUGAGUAAGUAUCGGAACGUGCCCAGUAGCGGGGGAUAAUACGCGAAGCGUAGCUCUUACCGCAUAGCCUACGGAGGAAGCAGGGGAUCGCAGACCUUCGCACUAUUGGAGCGGCCGAUAUCGGAUUAGCUAGUUGGUGGGGUAACGGCUCACCAAGGCGACGAUCCGUAGCUGGUUGAGAGGACGACCAGCCACACUGGGGACUGAGACACGGCCCAACUCCUACGGGAGGCAGCAGUGGGGAAUUUUUGGACAAUGGGGGAAACCCUGAUCCAGCCAUCCCGCGUGUGCGAUGAAAGGCCUUUCGGGUUUGUAAAGCACUUUUGGCAGGAAAGAAACGUCGCGGGUUAAUACCCCGCGGAACUGACGGUACCUGCAGAAUAAGCACCGGCUAACUACGUGCCAGCAGCCGCGGUAAUACGUAGGGUGCAAGCGUUAAUCGGAAUUACUGGGCGUAAAGCGUGCGCAGGCGGUUCGGAAAGAAAGAUGUGAAAUCCCAGAGCUUAACUUUGGAACUGCAUUUUUAACUACGGGCUAGAGUGUGUCAGAGGGAGGUGGAAUUCGCGUGUAGCAGUGAAAUGCGUAGAUUAUGCGGAGGACACGAUGGCGAAGGCAGCUUCUGGGAU
rnacentral:rRNA from 1 species